rnacentral:rRNA from 1 species
ACGAACGCUGGCGGCAUGCCUAACACAUGCAAGUCGAACGAGACCCCCGUCUUCGGAUGGCGGGUCUAGUGGCGCACGGGUGCGUAACGCGUGGGAAUCUGCCCUUGGGUUCGGGAUAACAGUUGGAAACGACUGCUAAUACCGGAUGAUGACUUCGGUCCAAAGAUUUAUCGCCCAGGGAUGAGCCCGCGUAGGAUUAGCUAGUUGGUGAGGUAAAGGCUCACCAAGGCGACGAUCCUUAGCUGGUCUGAGAGGAUGAUCAGCCACACUGGGACUGAGACACGGCCCAGACUCCUACGGGAGGCAGCAGUGGGGAAUAUUGGACAAUGGGCGAAAGCCUGAUCCAGCAAUGCCGCGUGAGUGAUGAAGGCCUUAGGGUUGUAAAGCUCUUUUACCCGGGAUGAUAAUGACAGUACCGGGAGAAUAAGCCCCGGCUAACUCCGUGCCAGCAGCCGCGGUAAUU